rnacentral:rRNA from 1 species
GAUGAACGCUAGCGGCAGGCUUAACACAUGCAAGUCGAGGGGCAGCGGGUGUAGCAAUACAUGCCGGCGACCGGCGCAAGGGUGCGUAACGCGUGAGCAAUCUGCCCGUAUCAGGGGGAUAAGCGAUGGAAACGUCGUCUAAUACCGCAUAAUACCAUUGGCGACAUCGUCGGUGGUUGAAACUUACGAGGGUGACGGAUUGGCUCGCGAGACAUUAGCUAGUCGGCGGGGUAACGGCCCACCGAGGCUACGAUGUCUAGGGGUUCUGAGAGGAAGGUCCCCCACACUGGAACUGAGACACGGUCCAGACUCCUACGGGAGGCAGCAGUGAGGAAUAUUGGACAAUGGUCGGAAGACUGAUCCAGCCAUGCCGCGUGAAGGAAGACGGUCCUAUGGAUUGUAAACUUCUUUUGUACGGGAGCAAUAAGGUAUACGCGUAUACCGAUGAGAGUACCGUACGAAUAAGCAUCGGCUAACUCCGUGCCAGCAGCCGCGGUAAUACGGAGGAUGCGAGCGUUAUCCGGAUUUAUUGGGUUUAAAGGGUGCGUAGGCGGCUGUUCAAGUCAGCGGUGAAAUGCAAGGGCUUAACCCUUGACGUGCCGUUGAAACUGAGUGGCUAGAAUGCGGAUGCUGUGGGAGGAAUGUGUAGUGUAGCGGUGAAAUGCAUAGAUAUUACACAGAACACCGAUUGCGAAGGCAUCUCACAAAUCCGCUAUUGACGCUGAGGCACGAAAGUGCGGGGAUCAAACA